rnacentral:rRNA from 1 species
AUGGCGUCCAUGUUGACGGUGCAUAUGAAUCAAGGACAAGGGGAAACAAGCUAUGCUCGCAACUCCUUUGUUCAUAAUGGUGAACAGAAGAGGAUGAAGCCCCUGAUAGAAGCCGCUAUCCUCGAUUUAUGCCCCAGCACUAGCACCUUGUUGCCCACAAAUAUGGUGAUUGCCGACCUGGGUUGCUCCUCUGGCCCAAACGCGAUAGCGCUAGUGUCGAUUGCCAUAGAGGCCAUCCACAAUCACAACCACCAGUUCUUACAGCCACCUCCCGAAGUGUCUGUCCUCCUCAACGACCUGCCUGACAACGACUUCAACAUGGUGCUGAAGAGCUUGGUCACGCUACGUCGAAGCAACAAGUCUAUUGUCAUGACUGGGGUUUUACCCGGGUCGUUUUACGAGAGGCUCUUCACUAGUGGUUCCUUGCACCUUGUCUGCUCGUCGAACAGCCUGCAUUGGCUCUCACAGGCUCCUGAAGGUCUGACAAGGAACCAGAUCCCGGCGUAUGACAUUGACGAGCAUACCAGGCUUGAAAGGCGCCCAAUGGUCCUUCAGGCUUAUGCACAACAGUUCAGGAAAGAUUUUACACGUUUCCUCGAGCUGAGGGCGAAAGAAAUGAUCCCAGGAGGCCGGAUAGUUGUUUCUCUUGUAGGGAGGGAUUCUGAUGUAAUCACCCCCGAAUUCCCUCCCCUCUGGGAAUUCAUAGCACAUAUUCUAAGCGUCAUGGUCUCAGAGGGUGUAAUCGACAAAGCAAACUUUGACGCUUUCUAUUUGCCUGUGUAUGAACCUUCCAACAAAGAGCUGAGGGAGAUCAUCCAAGAUGAAGGCUCAUUUUCAAUCACUGAGAUGCAGGUGAACAAUCCUUUUGUUGGUCUGGACAGCGCACUUGUGGUCCCAAGCAGGUUUGCUAGUGUAACCAGAGCCAUAUUUGAGCCGAUAAUAGUCCAUCAUUUUGGAGAAGUCAUGGAUGAAUUCGUGAGGACCUUGGAGCGACGCUGGAUCUUGGAAGGCAGCUUGCAAGUCGAUCUUGCCAAAAGCCCAUGA